AUUGAACGCUGGCGGCAUGCUUUACACAUGCAAGUCGAACGGUAACAGGCCGCAAGGUGCUGACGAGUGGCGAACGGGUGAGUAAUGCAUCGGAACGUGCCCAGUCGUGGGGGAUAACACAGCGAAAGCUGUGCUAAUACCGCAUACGAUCUAUGGAUGAAAGCGGGGGACCGUAAGGCCUCGUGCGAUUGGAGCGGCCGAUGUCAGAUUAGGUAGUUGGUGGGGUAAAGGCCCACCAAGCCAACGAUCUGUAGCUGGUCUGAGAGGACGACCAGCCACACUGGGACUGAGACACGGCCCAGACUCCUACGGGAGGCAGCAGUGGGGAAUUUUGGACAAUGGGCGCAAGCCUGAUCCAGCAAUGCCGCGUGCAGGAAGAAGGCCUUCGGGUUGUAAACUGCUUUUGUACGGAACGAAACGGUCUGGGUUAAUACCCUGGGCUAAUGACGGUACCGUAAGAAUAAGCACCGGCUAACUACGUGCCAGCAGCCGCCGUAA
rnacentral:rRNA from 1 species